rnacentral:rRNA from 1 species
GAGUUUGAUCCUGGCUCAGGAUGAACGCUAGCUACAGGCUUAACACAUGCAAGUCGAGGGGCAGCAUAUCGAAAGCUUGCUUUUGAUGAUGGCGACCGGCGCACGGGUGAGUAACGCGUAUCCAACCUUCCCUAUACUAGAGGAUAGCCCGGCGAAAGUCGGAUUAAUACUCUAUGUUGUAUUUAGAAGACAUCUGAAGAAUACCAAAGGUUUACCGGUAUAGGAUGGGGAUGCGUCUGAUUAGGUUGUUGGCGGGUAACGGCCCACCAAGCCUACGAUCAGUAGGGGUUCUGAGAGGAAGGUCCCCCACAUUGGAACUGAGACACGGUCCAAACUCCUACGGGAGGCAGCAGUGAGGAAUAUUGGUCAAUGGACGAGAGUCUGAACCAGCCAAGUAGCGUGCAGGAUGACGGCCCUAUGGGUUGUAAACUGCUUUUAUAUAGGGAUAAAGUGCACUACGUGUAGUGUUUUGUAGGUACUAUAUGAAUAAGGACCGGCUAAUUCCGUGCC